GUGAUUGAUAUGGAUAUGCAAUAAAUGAUAUUGCAAAUGAUAUUGUUCUCUCUUAAAUGAGGUUGAGAUUGUCCCUCUUCUAUUGAUAUUCAUAUCACAGAUUGCGGUUGAGAUAGCUUUGUCUUUAUGAGCUCAUAAGACAGUGAUGGCCUUUCGGAUUGAGUCUGCAUAAGGUGUGGAGACAAAACUAUUGAUUGAUGAUUGUAUUGAUAUGCCAUAAUAUCUUCAUAUAAAUUGAUUAUUUUUGGUGAGCAAAUGAAUUUAAUUUAGUUGAUAUGACUACUUGUUACUUCUAUUUAACCGGUUUGUUUUCAGUAAGCAAACGAUAAGAGUUGACUUAUGAGAGGAAGAAGGAAAGGAGUAAGUAGGAGAUUGAACCUGCAGAGUGCUAAGUCCCUUCUGUAGCAUAUGGAAGGUGAGCUACUGAAGUAGCUAUUACCUUAUUGGCAAACUUAUUGGAAUUUUUGUAUAAUGUAUAAGACAGAAACUGGUCACUAUUAUAUAUAUAUUUAGUAGACUAAUGCGACUGAAAGUUAUAUAAGUUUAUAAUCACUGA